AGUGAACGCUGGCGGUAGGCCUAACACAUGCAAGUCGAACGGCAGCACAGUAAGAGCUUGCCCUUACGGGUGGCGAGUGGCGGACGGGUGAGGAAUACAUCGGAAUCUACUUUUUCGUGGGGGAUAACGUAGGGAAACUUACGCUAAUACCGCAUACGACCUACGGGUGAAAGCAGGGGAUCUUCGGACCUUGCGCGAUUGAAUGAGCCGAUGUCGGAUUAGCUAGUUGGCGGGGUAAAGGCCCACCAAGGCGACGAUCCGUAGCUGGUCUGAGAGGAUGAUCAGCCACACUGGAACUGAGACACGGUCCAGACUCCUACGGGAGGCAGCAGUGGGGAAUAUUGGACAAUGGGCGCAAGCCUGAUCCAGCCAUACCGCGCGGGUGAAGAAGGCCUUCGGGUUGUAAAGCCCUUUUGUUGGGAAAGAAAAGCAGCAGGUUAAUACCCCGCUGUUCUGACGGUACCCAAAGAAUAAGCACCGGCUAACUUCGUG
rnacentral:rRNA from 1 species